rnacentral:rRNA from 1 species
CCUACGGGUGGCAGCAGUGGGGGAUAUUGGACAAUGGGGGAAACCCUGAUCCAGCGACGCCGCGUGAGUGAAGAAGUAUUUCGGUAUGUAAAGCUCUAUCAGCCGGGAAGAAAGAAAUGAUGCUUCCUGAGUAAGCAGCCCCUGCUAACUACGUGCCAGCAGCCGCGGGAAUACGUAGGGGGCGGUCGUGAUCCGGAAUUACUGGUUGUACGGGGUGCGUAGACGGUAAUGUAAGUCUGGAGUGAAGGGCGGGGGCGUACCCCCUGUACUGCGCUGGAAACUGUGAAACUGGAGUGCAGGGGAGGCAGGCGGAAUUCCUAGUGUAGCGGUGAAAUGCGUAGAUAUUAGGAGGAACACCAGUGGCGAAGGCGGCCUGCUGGACUGUAACUGACGUUGAGGCUCGAAAGCGUGGGGAGCAAACAGGAUUAGAUACCCGUGUAGUC